AUUGAACGCUGGCGGCAUGCCUUACACAUGCAAGUCGAACGGUAACAGGUCUUCGGAUGCUGACGAGUGGCGAACGGGUGAGUAAUACAUCGGAACGUGCCUAGUAGUGGGGGAUAACUACUCGAAAGAGUGGCUAACACCGCAUGAGAUCUACGGAUGAAAGCAGGGGAUCGCAAGACCUUGUGCUACUAGAGCGGCCGAUGGCAGAUUAGGUAGUUGGUGGGAUAAAAGCUUACCAAGCCGACGAUCUGUAGCUGGUCUGAGAGGACGAUCAGCCACACUGGGACUGAGACACGGCCCAGACUCCUACGGGAGGCAGCAGUGGGGAAUUUUGGACAAUGGGCGCAAGCCUGAUCCAGCAAUGCCGCGUGCAGGAUGAAGGCCUUCGGGUUGUAAACUGCUUUUGUACGGAACGAAAAGCCCUGGGUUAAUACCCUGGGGUCAUGACGGUACCGUAAGAAUAAGCACCGGCUAACUACGUGCCAGCAGCCGCCGUAAUAC
rnacentral:rRNA from 1 species